rnacentral:rRNA from 1 species
GAUGAACGCUGGCGGCGUGCCUAAUACAUGCAAGUCGAGCGAACAGACGAGGAGCUUGCUCCUCUGACUUUAGCGGCGGACGGGUGAGUAACACGUGGAUAACCUACCUAUAAGACUGGGAUAACUUCGGGAAACCGGAGCUAAUACCGGAUAAUAUAUUGAACCGCAUGGUUCAAUAGUGAAAGACGGUUUUGCUUUCACUUAUAGAUGGAUCCGCGCCGCAUUAGCUAGUUGGUAAGGUAACGGCUUACCAAGGCAACGAUGCGUAGCCGACCUGAGAGGGUGAUCGGCCACACUGGAACUGAGACACGGUCCAGACUCCUACGGGAGGCAGCAGUAGGGAAUCUUCCGCAAAGGGCGAAAGCCUGACGGAGCAACGCCGCGUGAGUGAUGAAGGUCUUCGGAUCGUAAAACUCUGUUAUUAGGGAAGAACAAAUGUGUAAGUAACUAUGCACGUCUUGACGGUACCUAAUCAGAAAGCCACGGCUAACUACGUG